rnacentral:rRNA from 1 species
UUGUACACACCGCCCGUCACACCACGAGAGUUUGUAACACCCGAAGUCGGUGAGGUAACCUUUUUGGAGCCAGCCGCCUAAGGUGGGAUAGAUGAUUGGGGUGAAGUCGUAACAAGGUAGCCGUAUCGGAAGGUGCGGCUGGAUCACCUCCUUUCUAAGGAA